AAAUUGAAGAGUUUGAUCAUGGCUCAGAUUGAACGCUGGCGGCAGGCCUAACACAUGCAAGUCGAGCGGAAACGAGUUAUCUGAACCUUCGGGGAACGAUAACGGCGUCGAGCGGCGGACGGGUGAGUAAUGCCUAGGAAAUUGCCCUGRUGUGGGGGAUAACCAUUGGAAACGAUGGCUAAUACCGCAUGAUGCCUACGGGCCAAAGAGGGGGACCUUCGGGCCUCUCGCGUCAGGAUAUGCCUAGGUGGGAUUAGCUAGUUGGUGAGGUAAGGGCUCACCAAGGCGACGAUCCCUAGCUGGUCUGAGAGGAUGAUCAGCCACACUGGAACUGAGACACGGUCCAGACUCCUACGGGAGGCAGCAGUGGGGAAUAUUGCACAAUGGGCGCAAGCCUGA
rnacentral:rRNA from 1 species